rnacentral:rRNA from 1 species
CCUACGGGGGGCAGCAGUGAGGAAUAUUGGUCAAUGGGCGCGAGCCUGAACCAGCCAAGUAGCGUGAAGGAUGACUGCCCUACGGGUUGUAAACUUCUUUUAUAAAGGAAUAAAGUGAGGCACGUGUGCCUUUUUGUAUGUACUUUAUGAAUAAGGAUCGGCUAACUCCGUGCCAGCAGCCGCGGUAAUACGGAGGAUCCGAGCGUUAUCCGGAUUUAUUGGGUUUAAAGGGAGCGUAGAUGGGUUGUUAAGUCAGUUGUGAAAGUUUGCGGCUCAACCGUAAAAUUGCAAUUGAAACUGGGAGGCUUGAGUAUGUUUGAGGCAGGCGGAAUGCGUGGUGUAGCGGUGAAAUGCUUAGAUAUCACGCAGAACCCCGAUUGCGAAGGCAGCCUGCCAAGCCAUGACUGACGCUGAUGCACGAAAGCGUGGGGAUCAAACAGGAUUAGAUACCCUUGUAGUC